UCUGCUUCUUGGCCUUUUGACUAAGAUCAAAGUGUAUUAUCCGUUCUUAUCGGUUUAAUAUCUGAUAUGGCCCCCAUCUAGGAGCCAUCUGGUAAUGUAGUGGUUAGAGCUGCUACAAAGGUUGCAGGUUCAAAUCCCACUUCCUGCUGUAGUACCCUUGAGAAAGGCAUUUGCCCUCUAUUGCUAAAAAUUUUC
ensembl:snRNA U2 U2 spliceosomal RNA